rnacentral:lncRNA from 1 species
AUUUUUCUAAUGACUACUCUCCCAGUAAGGUGGUUGGUACCUGAGUUAAUUCCAACGAGUGGGGGCGCGGGAAAUUUUGUCUACGAGUAGGUAAGCCGGGUUUGAAAUUAUGAGAAUAUUUCAGACAACCUGUGAAAACUGAGAAACAUACAUUCAUUUAUCAGACUUUCUAUCGGCCCUAGAAGUUGAAAAUGACAGGAAAGAAUCUCGAAUCAACCCUCCAAUCAACCCUCCAAUCAACCAAUAAGAGAGCAUAUGGGGUUUAGAUCUGAUCAUCUUUCGAAGCCAAAAUGCAAAAGCCAGUGCGGUUUAAUCUUCACACGUCCCGCUCUCUACCAAUCACGCUACAGGACCAAGGGGCGACCUGGAGCGGAGAUGAAACGUCAGUCAGAUAAGCCGAACCCUUUCACGGUGACAGGCUUAUAUACUUUAGUCCACCGGACCAAGUCAGGUGGCGUGUUGAUCUGUGAGUCUGUAGGGUCAGCAGGGGAUUAAUUUUAGACAAAGCGAGGGAACUCGAGACCGGCCCAGGCUGAUAGGUACUACUACUGGCGUGGUAUGUACCUACAAGGGUCAUUAUUCGACACAUCAUUCAAUCGGUUCAUGUUAUUCACAAUUUUUAUUUUUAUUUAUUGUACUCCGCGAAAACCUCCAACUUAACUUGGAUUGGUAGUCUCGCUUAAUUCAUCCACAAUCGCGGUGAGAACCCAUUAAUCUGGGUUUACUCCAUAUAAUUGUGUAGCUUCAUCUGUCAUUCAAUCUAUAUUCCGUCCAAUCUAUCCUCACCCACACUCAUUUAAAACAAUCAUUAAGUACCGGAAGAUCCGUGGUCGACGCCACAUUGCUACGGCGCCAUUGCUAACAAUGAUGGUACUGGCUCUCCCGACGGAGUUUAAUUUUAGUGUCAUCCUUACUCUCAUGGCUUCAGCUGAUGACUGGCUAGCGGUUAUCGUAGCUACUACGUUGCAAUUAUCACAGCUCUCCAAUGUCCGUGAGCGAAGAAUCGCAUGGCGGCGGCGGGAGACCAAUUGUGCCACGCGUUUCAUCCUUACU